GACGAACGCUGGCGGCGUGCUUAACACAUGCAAGUCGAACGGAAAGGCCCUGCUUUUGUGGGGUGCUCGAGUGGCAAACGGGUGAGUAACACGUGAGUAACCUGCCCUUGACUUUAGGAUAACUUCAGGAAACUGGGGCUAAUACCGGAUAGGAGCUCCUGCUGCAUGGUGGGGGUUGGAAAGUUUCGGCGGUUGGGGAUGGACUCGCGGCUUAUCAGCUUGUUGGUGGGGUAGUGGCUUACCAAGGCUUUGACGGGUAGCCGGCCUGAGAGGGUGACCGGCCACAUUGGGACUGAGAUACGGCCCAGACUCCUACGGGAGGCAGCAGUGGGGAAUAUUGCACAAUGGGCGGAAGCCUGUUGCAGCAACGCCGCGUGCGGGAUGACGGCCUUCGGGUUGUAAACCGCUUUCGCCUGUGACGAAGCGUGAGUGACGGUAAUGGGUAAAGAAGCACCGGCUAACUACGUG
rnacentral:rRNA from 1 species